rnacentral:rRNA from 1 species
CUACGCACUCCUACGGGAGGCAGCAGUGGGAAUAUUGCACAAUGGGCGCAAGCCUGAUGCAGCCAUGCCGCGUGUAUGAAGAAGGCCUUCGGGUUGUAAAGUACUUUCAGCAGUGAGGAAGUGGAUAUGUUAAUAGCAUAUUCAUUUGACGUUAGCUGCAGAAGAAGCACCGGCUAACUCCGUGCCAGCAGCCGCGGUAAUACGGAGGGUGCGAGCGUUAAUCGGAAUUACUGGGCGUAAAGCGCAUGCAGGUGGUUUGUUAAGUCAGAUGUGAAAGCCCGGGGCUCAACCUCGGAAUUGCAUUUGAAACUGGCAAACUAGAGUACUGUAGAGGGGGUAGAAUUUCAGGUGUAGCGGUGAAAUGCGUAGAGAUCUGAAGGAAUACCGGUGGCGAAGGCGGCCCCCUGGACAGAUACUGACACUCAGAUGCGAAAGCGUGGGGAGCAAACAGGAUUAGAUACCCUGGUAG